GACGAACGCUGGCGGCGUGCCUAAUACAUGCAAGUAGAACGCUGAAGAGAGGAGCUUGCUCUUCUUGGAUGAGUUGCGAACGGGUGAGUAACGCGUAGGUAACCUGCCUUGUAGCGGGGGAUAACUAUUGGAAACGAUAGCUAAUACCGCAUAACAAUGGAUGACACAUGUCAUUUAUUUGAAAGGGGCAAUUGCUCCACUACAAGAUGGACCUGCGUUGUAUUAGCUAGUAGGUGAGGGAAUGGCUCACCUAGGCGACGAUACAUAGCCGACCUGAGAGGGUGGACGGCCCCACUGGGACUUGGACACGGCCCAGACUCCUACGGGAGGCAGCAGUAGGGGAUCUUCGGCCAUUGGGGCAACCCUGACCGAGCAACGCCGCGGGAGUGAAGAAGGUUUUCGGGUCGCAAAGCUCUGUUGUAAGUCAAGAACGGGUGUGAGAGUGGAAAGUUCACACUGUGACGGUAGCUUACCAGAAAGGGACGGCUAACUACGUG
rnacentral:rRNA from 1 species